rnacentral:sRNA from 1 species
AGCCUAACCCUUUAGUGAUAAAGGUAUGGUGAAGAAGUCCACUACAGCAUAAAAAACUCCUAGUCAGAGUUUCGCUGUAGUGGCCGUACUUGGAAACAGGUACGAGUGGUCGAAAGAUCACU